UACGUAGGGUGCGAGCGUUAAUCGGAAUUACUGGGCGUAAAGCGUGCGCAGGCGGUGAUGUAAGACAGGUGUGAAAUCCCCGGGCUUAACCUGGGAACUGCAUUUGUCGACUGCAUCGCUGGAGUGCGGCAGAGGGGGAUGGAAUUCCGGCGUGUAGCAGUGAAAUGCGUAGAUAUGCGGAGGAACACCGAUGGCGAAGGCAAUCCCCUGGGCCUGGCACUGGACGCUCCAUCGCACGAAAGCGUGGGAGCAACAGG
rnacentral:rRNA from 1 species